AGAAUUUCAGCAUUUGCUACUUACUGGUAGAGAAGAAAAAUCCCACAGCCCUGCCAGUACAGUUUAAUCUGUAUAAGAAAUGGCGUAGAUACAGUGGAAAUGGUUUUCCUUAAAACCAUCUCUUUAAAGCUGCCUUUCUGAUAAAGUACCAAAGUAUGGACCCUCAAUUUAUGUCUUUAAGAUUUAAAGUGAAGUAAAUUUCUAAGGAACUCUGUCCUUUCCUAGCAAGGAUAAGCAGACAUUGAAAAUUUGGUAAGUAUUUAACUUUAAAUGCAUGUGCUAGUGAUGAAAGUAAGUAGCCAAAAUUCCAUACUUUAAGGUAAUAUUUAGAUGUGAACAAAAAUUCUUGGAUCUCCCUUGCGACCUAAUGUCUGCGUGUCUAGCUAGCAGUUUUAUAAACUUGUAUGGACAAUGAUUAAAUUGAAAUAUACCUUACUCCUUUGUCUGGCUUGUUUUCUUUUUCUUUUGUAUGGUGCUUUAAAUACUAAUUUUGUAUUUCAAACUUUCUUCAGGGUAAAAAUAAGUGGCUGGUAAAAUGUCUUCAAGAAGUAUUAUUCAAAUGUUCCUAUUUAAAAACCCAAUGAUGACUUUCAAUUUACUUAACCCUUCUGUUUUCCAGCGCCAGUCAAAACUGACAAUAGGCAGCUGAUCACAAAAAUCAGGGGAGGGGGUGUCUUUUGUGCUCUUUUUGGAAUAUUGGUAGGGAUCAUUGUAUUAUAAUAAAAUGUUAAUCCAUUGCCUAAUUUUCAUGAAAAUGGUGCUUUUAAAAUUAAGGUAAAAAGGUGAUAAGAUUUGGAAUUGUUCCUUCUCCCUGGGACAUUAUCAUUAAGAGGUUAGUGUGCCCAGCUGGUAUAGCUCAGUGGCUUGAGUGUCAUCCCAUGGACUUGCGAGGUCGCUGGUUCAAUUCCCUGUCAGGGUACAUGCCCAGG